UACGUAGGGGGCGAGCGUUGUCCGGAUUCAUUGGGCGUAAAGAGCUCGUAGGCGGCUUGGCAAGUCGGAUGUGAAAACUCCAGGCUCAACCUGGAGCCGCCAUUCGAUACUGCUAUGGCUAGAGUCCGGUAGGGGAGUGUGGAAUUCCCGGUGUAGCGGUGAAAUGCGCAGAUAUCAGGAGGAACACCGGUGGCGAAGGCGGGUCUCUGGGCCGAUACUGACGCUGAGGAGCGAAAGCGUGGGGAGCGAACAGG
rnacentral:rRNA from 1 species